rnacentral:rRNA from 1 species
AUGCCGCAGCAGGAGGUGCCCGACCAGAUCGCCGCAGGGUGGUUCGCGGUGGAGGCGCCGGAGCGACCGGGGAGCCUCCAGAGGAGCGGCUCCAACAGCCGCCUCAACGCGCAGGCGCCGGAAUUCGUGCCGCGGGUCGCGGCGGUGGUUCCACCGCCACAGCCACCGCCGGCAGUGAUUCGUGUGUUUGCGGUUCCCUCGCCUCCACCUCGCGCGGCUUUCUUUGCGGCUCCCCCGCCUCCCCCGUCGUUCGAGUUCUUCGCGCCGGUGAGGGUUGGCGGUGCAUUUGUGGCCGAGGAGCCAGCUCCGGAGAUGGAGCGCGCGACGCCACCUGUUGCUGAGCCGGCGGUGGACGGGCUUACUGAUGAGGUGGUGCAGAAGAUCACCAAGCAGGUGGAAUACUAUUUCAGUGAUAUAAACCUGGCCACUACGGAACAUCUGAUGAGAUUUAUUAGCAAGGAUCCUCAGGGAUAUGUGCCAAUAUCAGUUAUUGCUGGCUUCAAGAAAAUAAAAGCUUUAGUGCAUAAUAACCCAAUGCUUGCUGCAGCUCUCCGUACCUCGUCAAAACUUGUUGUAAGUGGUGAUGGAAAAAGAGUAAAACGCCGACAUCCAUUUACUGAAUCUGAUAUGCAGGAGUUCCAGUCCCGAAUUGUAGUGGCAGAAAAUCUUCCUGGUGAUCCUUCUUACCAGAAUCUUAUGAAGAUCUUUUCAGCUGUUGGCAGUGUGAGAACAAUUCGUACUUGCUAUCCUCAGACUCCAAAUGGUCCUGGUCCUGCUACUAAUAGAUCUGCCAAGCUAGAUAUGCUGUUUGCCAACAAGCUGCAUGCUUUUGUGGAGUAUGAGACUCAUGAGGAUGCUGAGAAGGCAAUUCUGGAGCUGAAUGAUGAAAGGAACUGGAGAAAUGGGCUUAGAUCACGGCUGCUGAAUACUUGCAUGACAAAGGGUCCAGUAAAAGGGAAAACGGGAGGGCAUGAAGGUGAUGGAAAUGGUGAGGACGACGUCUCCACUUCAAACCAAUCAAACGAGAGACAGCUUGAAGGAUCCUUUCAACUGGCAGAUGUAUUGCCAGAGCACCUGUUUGAUGAGAACAGUGACAAGCAAGGUCCAAAGCAUGGCAAAGGCCGUGGGUGUUGCGGUAAAGGCCGAGGCCGUGGCUACCAUCAACUGAACAACUAUCAUCAUCACAUUCACAAUGGCAGCAACCAUCACCAGGUUAUCAACAGUCGUGGCAGCCAUCCAGUUGGGACACCACCGAACACCCAGCUUAUCAUGGUCGAGCAGCUACUACCUGUGGCAAACAAACAGCCACCUGGCCCACGAAUGCCUGAUGGCACUCGUGGUUUCGCCAUGGGCAGGGGGAAGCCAUCAUCAGCUUCGUGCGCCGUCGAGCUUUAA